UACAGAAGGAGCGAGCGUUGUUCGGAAUUACUAGGCGUAAAGGGCGCGUAGGCGACCAACUAAGUCAGACGUGAAAUCCCUCGGCUCAACCGGGAAACUGCGUCUGAUACUGGAUGGCUUGAAUUCGGGAGAGAAAUGCGGAAUUCCAGGUGUAGCGGUGAAAUGCGUAGAUAUCUGGAGGAACACCGGUGGCGAAGGCGGCAUCCUGGACCGAGAUUGACGCUGAUGCGCGAAAGCCAGGGGAGCAAACGGGG
rnacentral:rRNA from 1 species